CAGCCUGCAAAGGGGACAAGAGAGAGGAGGCUGUGAAUGCCUGCAGGAUGGUGGAGGCAGGCUGUGAAUGCCUGCAGGAUGGUGAGGGUCGGCGCUGGGGCCGGGACAUGGACGGCAGAAGUGGUCAGAGGGCAAGGCACUGACCCAGAAAACCUGGGAAAUGCCUUGAGCAAUUACAGCAGAAAAGAUAAAUAUUCUUCCUGGGAAGAGAGCGAGAGGCCCCUCCCCCACAGCCAUGCACAUUUGAUGUAAACAUUACGUUAGGUGUAGUGAAAACAGGGGUACCCCACCCCAGAGUGGAAUGCAUUGCUCAGGGAGGUGAGGACAGUUUGGGAGCACCGGGCACCCGCCAUCUUUCUUCUCAGCCUCCCUGCUGUGGGGCAGCCUCUGGCUUUGAAAAGCAUGGCGGCCCUCACAGAGACCGAGAGCGUUUCUUUUCCCCAGCACAGGUCAAGCAGUGCUCCUGCUUCAACUGCUCAUGGCUGCCCUUGAAGGGCGCUGACACUGCAAUCACAGGGAAAGUGCGCACGGCAUCCCCACGUGACCUCUGACAGUCAGGUCACAUGACAAAGGCUCAUUCAUCGCUCUUGUCCACUCAUGGCGUCUGCUCACUCGCUUGCUCAAGAAUCAGUUACGGAAUAAAAUAGCUGAAGUUUAGGUCUUGGGACCCCUGGCUGUCUUCAGACGAGCCUUACUUGACCCCUCUCCCCUCCCUUCUCUCCUUUGCCCUCCACGUAAUCUGGCCUCAGGGCUCCUUUCUGUUCCAGGCAGACUCUUUGGGUCCAGUUCAGAGUUUCCAAGGUUUCUUUUGAGCAGCAGCAAGUGGCAGUCUGAGAAGGCACAGGGGGAGGUUCUCCUAGACACCCCCAGGCUGGGCUUGGCCUGGGAAGGUGGGAAAGAUGCUUCAUGGGUAAUAAGAAAACCACAGAGAGAAGAAACCCAGUAGCUCAUCAUAGCUGGGCAGCCCUUAGAACUAAAGUCAUUCCCUAGGUCUUAAAUUAGGCCCUCUCGGUCCCUUACAGCAAGCAGGCCAGGGUUUCCAAAGUCUGUGGACCAGCCAUCCCACCCUUGUAGAAUGCUCCACAGUCCUCUGCUUGACGCUCUGCAAAGCCCAUUGAGGCCCUGGCUUGUAUGCCUCGGAGGUCUCAGCUGUGUCACUGACUCUUUGGGGGUCUCCGUUUCCUCUGCUGCUGACAGCUGGGCCAGUUCCCUAGCUCAAAUUCCGUGGCCCAGGGCCCUUGCUGGCUGCCCGGUAUAGGCAACAGUGUUCAUUUCUUCCAGGGGGUGAAAGAGAGGCCCGCAGGAGCCUCCUUCCCCACGGUGCAGAGCAACUACCCAGCCUUGACUAGAACCUGAGUAUUAGGCCUGCCCUCUGAGCUAUGCUGUGAUGGCAAGACCAGGCCACACACACGGACAACCUCCACGGGGACUUCUCAUCGAGGCCCUCUUGGAAGCCCAAAAGGCCAGAAGAGGGCAGCUAGGCGUGAGCUACAAGAUGAUGGGUCUCUGGGUUAAGGAAGAAGGGCGAUUUGACUUGUGAUGAGAGAACAGUUGAGGCCACUGAGCAGUUUAGGACGGGGAGGUGCUGGUACCCACACGUGGGAACAGGAUGGUAGUCAGGCAGGCCAGGGCUAGAAAUACUCGACUGAUACCCUCUAGCACUCCAGCCUCUGGGCUGUAGGUGGCUUUCAGGGCACCAGACAAGCAGCCUCACUAAGCUUCUGGGGAAGGAGAACUGUCCCAGGUGGCUCCCAUCCUGGCGCUGACAGACAGAUAGACAGACAGAAUGUGCUUUCAGUGCCGUGGAGAACUAUAGACGGUGGGAGGUAGAUGCUCACUUUGAAGCUCAGCUCAGGCUGGGGAUGCUCACUGAUGGUGGGGGCCUCCACUCCUCCUCUGCCUUUACCUCGAAUGCGCUGACAUUUGGACAAUAAAUGCUCUCAGCGUCUGGAGAAGCCUGAUAGGGUUGGGUCAGGUCAGCAUCCGUGGAUAUGAAAAGGGCCUCCCUGACCACCUACCUCUCCUGAACCCGGAAGGCCCUGAGCACCACAGUAAGCUUCAGGCAGCCUUCAUUUGGAUGUCUAAAGAGGUUUCUCUAUCUACUCUUUGCAGAGAUGGGGUAGCAGGUGUCGAAGGGCUCGUGGCUCACUCAUGGAGAGGAGCAAGGAGUUAGCUACAGAGAUAGCAAGAUCAACAACUGCUCCUUGACCUAGGCUUGAAGUGGAAGCCUUCCUCCCUCUUCUGCUGGAUUCAGGACCUGGGGCUGAGACCGUCAUCAUCCUUAGAGCCGAGUGUCCAGCACUGCCUAGAACACUAGCCUAAGCUCCUGCCCCAACACUUGCAGGACCGGGCAGGUGAUAUGCUGGCUGUAGAGAAAAGCCUGCCACUGGCUCAGCGGUGGGCACCUCCACCCAGCCAUGAUGGGCAGGCUGAAACACUGCCUAGGUGUGCACGGGUGAACCCAGCAGAGGUGUCUACCCGGCUCCCUGCAGACUCCCUGAGCUUGCUCACACCCAUUGUGGCUAGCAAGCCUCUCUGAGAUGCCACGGACAUCAGUUGCUGUAACUGGGGCUCCUGACCCAAGUCACUGCUGUUCUACGGAGGGGCAAAUAGGACCGAGCACCCUGUGGGGUUUCUAAAUGCAUUGCAAUGCAUAUACUUUUCCACCAGUGUGUGUGUGUGUAUGUGUGUGUGCAUGCACCCACGUAUGGACAAGGGUAUACUGAGUAGCGGGAGGGGUGGCUAUGUAUGUAUACCCCAUCUAUGUGUGGGUGGGCACAUGUAUAUAUGGGAGCAGAGCUAGGUCUGCAUCUGCAUGCAUUACACAAUUACAGCCAACCACAGUAAGAAUGCUCAACUCCCCGAUGCAGGCCGCUUUAUUUACUUAAUUCUGAGAAAUGACAUCAUUGUCAUUAAGUUUCCCACUUUAGAGAUGAGGAGAGGCUAAACACUUAGAGAGUUCAUCUAGAGCUCUGAGUCUUAGCCACUCUAGAUGGUACAGGUGUGACACACUGGGUCCCUAAAUAUUGUCACUUAUGUUAUCCUGGCUUAAUAUAGCUUCGCUGUGCAACCGCGGGCAAGCUACUAACCUUUCUGAUUCUCAGUCUCCCUUCUGAUAUCAGCGUAACUAAUGGGGCCCGUCUGCCAAGGCUGAAGAGGAGAAUCAGAGAACGGACUGGCGGCUGGGCUGAGCUAGUCCCAGAGUGGAGGGGCUGCUGACGGCUAAGCGUCCACACCUGUGGAUGGCUGGAGGUAAUGAGCUUCCACACAAGCUGGGUAGCUAUGUCACCUAGAGGGCCCAUGGGGGUAGGUGAGGGGCUCCCACUCUUUGCUCCUGGAUGGAGAACUCAGAGAUUAGUUUCAGAGAAGAACACCCUGUGGGUAUGUGACCUGUAAGGGGUCUUCCAGGCGGAGCCCCAGGCUGCAGAGUCACCCAGAAGAACAAACCCCUGCAGCUGCCCUUGCUCCUGCUUCUUCCCCAGGGUCUCCCCAGGAAUCAAAGGCCCACGGGAGAGGCCUCCCUGCUCACUAGGCCUCAGGAGCCUCCUUCUUUAUCUUGGUCUAAGUGCCAAGGAGCUAGAGAGAGAGGACCAAGAGCUGUGCCUAACAUGGUCGCCUAAGGGUGUGGAUGUGGAAGACACAGACCAGGUCCAGCCCCAGGAAGGAAACUCAGGCUCAGGAGCCAGGUGCCCCCAUCUCAGGCCACAGGUAUCUUCCGUGACCAUUUGGUUGGUCACUAAGAGUCUACCUGUCUGGCCAGUUUCUGAGAAUGAAGCUUGAAUCUUCCACGUGGAGGCAAGGCAGGGGAGAGACAGAUAGACAGACACAGAGAGAGACAGAGAGAGAGAGAGAGAGAGAGAGAGAGAGAGAGAGAGAGAGAGAGAGAGAAAGAAGAACAGCAGGACAGCAGCUGGCUGGGGCUGAGCCUCUUCAGGAGGGGCUGAGCAUGGCUGGGGGUUGGCAGGAAGUGACCGGCACCCCCAGGCCACUGCUGUCCCCAGGGUGACCAGGCCACAAUGGCCUCCUUAAGUAGGGAGGAUAAUGAACUCAUUAGAGCGAGAGUGAGGCCAGCUGUAUACAAUUAGGAUGUUAAUAAAGUCCUCUGAGGUCACUGCUCAGCCUAGGACAAAGCAAAUGGCGGGGGAGGGGAGCCCCUACUCCUCCUUUCCUCCCCUUCUGAAAUCCUCCCAAUCCUUCCAGAUGUUGAGAUGUGUCUUCCUUGAGGCCCCCACUCUCCCCACUCUAUUGGCUCUGCUCACCCUGGGACUGAGCCGAGUUUGAAAGUGGUUUCGCCACUUCCUAACUGGGCCACUGGCCCUCUGUGAGCCUCACUGGCAUACAAGGGAUGAUAACUAUCUGGGGAGGAGACUCCCCUCAAUCAGGGACACAGAACUGUCAAUCACCUGAAAGGAAAGCCACCCCCAAGAACACGCUGGAGGUUCUCCUUCUCCAGCCCCCCAGGCAGGGCACACAGCUGUGAGGCCAGCAGGAGAGGCCCCUUCUCCUGGCUCCAGCCUUGGUGUCAGCCCCUUGGCCCAAACCCAGGAUUUUGAGACAGGCCACAACUCUGAUUUUGGAAUUUGAGAAAACUAGCACCUUUAGGUGAGUUCCAGGCCUCACUUUUGUAUCUAUUACAGCAUCCCAACUCUUGCCCACAUGAGCUGGCCUAGUCACUGCAGAGCGAGUUCAUGUGUGGCUCUACCUCUGAUCUGGGCCUCUUAAGGCUUCCAUACUCAGAUGACAGAUGGUGUGACAUGGAUCUAGGUACUAAAGAAACUGCAGACAUUUGGGGUCUUGAUGGUUUGGAUUUGGGGGAGCCAGAAACCCAUCCUACCAGAAUCCUCAAGCAGCACCCUAGCUUGCUGUGGCAAAUGCCCCCACUCUGUGGCAAGUCUUCUCCUCCCUAGAAGUGUGAUGUGCCUAAGUAGUCCUAUCUUUCUUCCUUGGAGGAGGCUCGGGGAUGGUAGGAGAGUUAGGAUUAGCAAGCAUCCAGUGAGAAGGACUGCCCAGGCAUUAAGUCACCAGCACAUGCCACCUGGCCAUGGCUGAGCCCUAAAGUCCUGGCCUCAGCUCCAUUUCCUUCCUAUCUCCUUGUAGCAGAUCCAGGGCUUCUCUCUAGAGGGACCAGAGGAACAGGAAAUGCAGCCCACUCACACAUGCUGUGCCUUUAAGAGCAGCGAAAGGCUAGCAUCCCUGGGCCAGGCCUCCCCUGGUCAGAAGGCUCUGUCACAGCAUCCUCCUGCCAAGACACACUCCAGUUCUCAGCGUGUGGCCUCCACUGUCCAAAGAAAACAGGAGAGGCUUUGGAGCUGGUUGAGGGCUCCCCAGUCCCUCUUGUGUGCGCGCACACAGCGCCUGCCCUCCUGACCCACUCACCUAGUCCUACCCUUGGCACUCGCCCUAUUUUGUUGUCCAAGGCCCACUCCCUUUCCCCAUAUGGGGCCUUGAGGCCAGAGGGUCCAGAGCCUUCCCAGGGUGCCUGGAUUCCAAGACCAUGAGCACAAACUGCCUACAUCACCAUCUGGAAGGCUCCGUGGAGUCUGUGGCAAGGAGACAGAGGCUGGGCUGCUGCUGUCUCUCCUAGCUUGUACCGCCCACCUCGCUGGAUCAACCCAUACUUAGGCUGGGGUCUGUCAAGCCCACAGGGCUCUGAUGGAGUUCGGCAGUGUUGUGGGCAAGGUACUGAGAAGGUAGUUCAUCUAUCAAGCAAUUGCAGGCAGAGAGGAGUACAUAGCAGAAGGUAGACACAGGUUUAAUCAAGGGUUCUCUAACCAUAUACUGUCUGGGAUCUGAUCCCAGCCAUGGACUUCCUAACUAAUGAAAUGCAGCAGUUUCUUCAUCUGUAAAGUAGCCCUAGAAAGCACAGUAUAUGUAUAAGGGUUAGCUAUCCCUCCUUAUUCUAAUAAUUUAGUAUGUAUAGUAAUAAAACUUAAUUAUAUGUUAGAUAAAAAGA